UACGUAGGGUCCGAGCGUUGUCCGGAGUUACUGGGCGUAAAGGGCGCGUAGGCGGCGUGUUAAGUCAGCUGUGAAAUCUCCAAGCUUAACUUGGAACGGUCAGCUGAUACUGAUGUGCUAGAGUGCAGAAGGGGCAACCGGAAUUCUUGGUGUAGCGGUGAAAUGCGUAGAUAUCAAGAGGAACACCUGAGGUGAAGACGGGUUGCUGGGCUGACACUGACGCUGAGGCGCGAAAGCUAGGGUAGCAAACGGG
rnacentral:rRNA from 1 species